GGGGUGUAGUGUGUCGAACUAAGUGGGUGUCAGGGGUUCACUUACAGACUUUGUAUGUUUUUACAAACUGCAGCAAUUAAGUCGUCAAUUACCGUGUUGAUUUAAAUACAUAUAAAAACUUUCAGACAAAAAUAGACGUUCACAUUACCAUGAUGAAAAAAGUCAGUAAUGGUGAUUCCUCUGUGAAACUAGAAAAGAAAUCCAGUGGUUAAACUUGGCAGCUCCAAGGGUAUCACUGCCCCCUAGGACAGUGGUCCCCAACCUUUUUGGUAGCAGGGAGCAGUUUCAUGGAAGACAACUUUUCCACAGACUGCGGGGGAGGGGUGCGGUUUUGGGAGGAUUCAGCUGCAUUAAAUCUAUUGUGCACUUUAUUUCUAUUAUUAUUACAUUGUAAUAUAUGAUGAAAUAAUUAUACAACUCACCAUAAUGUAGAAUCAGUGAGAGCCCUGAGCUUGUUUUCCUACAACUAGAUGGUCUCAUCUGGAGGUGACGGGAGACACUGACAGAUCAUCAGGCAUUAGAUUCUCAUAAGGGGCGUGCAACCUAAAUCCCUCACAUGCACAGUUCACAACAGGGUUCGUGCUCCUAUGAGAAUCUAAUGCUACUGCUGAUGUGACAGGAGGCAGAGUUCCGGCAGUAACGUGAGUGGCCCAGUUCCUAACAGGCCAUGGACCUAUUACUGAUCCGUUGCCCAGGGGUUAGGGACCCCUGCCCUAGGCAACAUCUUGAAGAUCUAUUUGAAAUACACUUCUUGACUUUUCUUUUUUCUUUUUGAGACAGAGUCUUGCUGUGCUGCCCAGGCUGGAGUGUAGUGGUGCGAUCUCAGCUCAUUGCACCCUCUGCCUCCUGGGUUCAAGAGAUUCUCCCACCUCAGCCUCUUGAGUAGCUGGGAUUACAGGCAUGCGCCACCACACUGGCUAAUUUUUUGUAUUUUUAGAAGAGAUGAGGUUUUGCCACGUUGGCCAGGCUGGUCUCAAACUCCUGGCCUCAAGCGAUCUGCCCGCCUCAGCCUCCCAAAGUGCUGGGACUACAGGCGAGAGCCACUGCGCCCAGGCUUUUGUUGUUGUUGUUGUUUUGGUAGAGACAGGCUUUCACCAUGUUGCCCACGCUGGUCUUGAACUCAUGAACUCAAGCGAUCCACCCGGCUUGGCCUCCCAAAGUGUUGGGAUUACAGGCGUGGGCCACCGCCUUGCCUGGCCUCAAUUAUGUUUAUGAAUGUUGUGAAGUAGAAAUUAAUAUUACCCCUUCAAAUAAACAGGAAGGUGUUAGCAUACCACACGGGUCCAAAGUGAGUAUGGUUCAGAUUGGGAACAAAGCUGUGUGGCAGUAGCUGACCUAAGCCUGGGAUCAAAUCUAAAGGUUGCCUGAGAGAAACAGGGACUGCGUAGGAACAGGUCUUCCAUGAACACAGGAAAAUGAACAAACUUAGUGCUGCAGACAAGGAGGA
rnacentral:lncRNA from 1 species